ensembl:snoRNA
CUGAGUGCAUGAUGAUGUAAAGUUAUCCCUGUCUGAAGGGCAAGAGGCCUUUCUGUGUGGAGCGUGGAUAUCUGAAACUCGG